GCAUGGACUUUUCUCCAGUUGUGUGGACUUUUUUCCAGUUAUGGAGAGUGGGGGCUACUCUCUAAUUGCGAUGCGUGGGCUUCUCUUGCUGUGAAGCACAGGUUCUAGAUGCUUGAGCUUCAGUAGUUGCAGCACAUGGGCUCAGUAGUUGUGGCUCCUGGGCUCUAGAGCAUGGGCUCAACAGUUGUGGUGCAGGGGCUUAGUUGCUCUGUGGCAUGUGAGAUCUUCCUGGAUCAGGAAUGAAACCUGUGUCUUCUGCAUUGACAGGUGGAUUCUUUAUCACUGAGCCAUCAGGGAAGUGCCUCGAUUUUCCAUCUUAAAAUUAAGUCAAGCUUUCCUUGGUCUUAUAAAGCUUCAAAAUCCAGUCUGUCAUUUGACAGUGAGCAUGGGGAUUCCAGUGCAGAGGAAACCAUUUCUGCUUAAUGACCCUGGCUGCAGUGAAGAUGAAAUAGAUGUGGCUUCCUCCCUCCAUCCCUUAUCCUGGCCUCAUCAGAAUCACAGCUUCUUAAGGAUGAACCCCUUCGAGUGAAAUUGCUAAGCAAAGGGCAGGCACUUUGUGAAGAUGUGUGAUGCAUAUUUCCAGUUGCUCUACAGAGAAGCUGUACCACUGUACACCAGCAAAAAAUGGGAGGGCCUUUCCUUGUGAAUCCUCACUAAUACUGCCACCUUAAAAAAACCUCAAAACAGAUCCAAACACUGUAAA
ensembl:lncRNA